UCAGUUCACUUUGUUUCGUUCCUGCAAUUAAAAUGAAUGAUUCAGUUUAGAUUGAUGCAUGAAAUAAGAAAAUGUCUGGAUUAUGUUGAAGCAUCAGAUACACAAAAUCAUUGAAUAUUUUAUAAACAUGUUUACAUGCUAAAAAUGAACUAGCAUUAUUAGAUCUAAUCUAAUAAAAAUCCCAACGAUCAUUAUGAAUGAAGUCCACUCGAGAAAAUAGAGAAAGCUACCCUAGA
rnacentral:lncRNA from 1 species